CUAGCUAUGUACAUGUGCUAGAAUUCUAUGGAGAAUUCUAGAGAGUCUAGAGAGUUCUACUACUUUCUAGCUAGGUACAUGUGCUAGAAUUCCAUGGAGAAUUCUAGAGUAUUUCCAAGCUCAAAUGGACUAGAGUUCACUAGAACAUUCCGGAAUCUAGAGUUGCCUAGAAUGUUCCGGAAUUGGGCUAUUUAUUUUUCAU
rnacentral:lncRNA from 1 species